rnacentral:rRNA from 2 species
AAUGAUCCUUCCGUAGGUGAACCUGCGGAAGGAUCAUUA